UCCUGUCUUGGUGAGGUCACAGAAACUGCUCGACUCAACAGUGACAUCCUUUCCAAGGUACUUUUUCUUUAUCUUACUCACUUUUAUAGUAGUCCUAGAGGGUAGGAGGACCAGGGGGAUUGUGCCCAUUACAGAGACGAGCAAACCAUGGCUUGCAGGUAAGUCACCUUGACCUCGUAUGGUCAAAUAUUUAGUUAUUGGCAGAAAGAGAACAUGAAAGAGACUUAGAGUUAUUCUCGAGGACUCCAGCCGUGCCCCAGAGGAGGUAUAUAUAUAGCUCCAACAAGGAAUGUUUAUUUUUCUUCCUUUUUUCUUAAUUAAUACCUUGGAGAGUGGCUUAGUUUGGACUACUAUACCACAUUACCAUGGACGGAGUGACUUCUCACAGCUCUGAAGGCUGAUUAUAAGGUCACUGAGAGUUCCAACACUGAAUAAAUAUUUGCUGAGUGCUUAUUAUGCCAGGCACUGAAGAUACAACUGGGAACAAGUUUCACCAGAAGCUUCCAGACUAGCGGAGGGACUCAAUAAGAUGAGCACUGAUUCAGGAUUGUAAAGGACCAAAGAUGAAGAGGGGCUCUGAUGAAUAACAUGUGGAGGAAAAAAGAUUUAAAUUACCAUUGAACUGAAAUCUAAUGGUAACAUCCAAUGGUGAACUGUGACAUCACCCCAAAAAUGUUUUGUUCAUUUGGGGAUAAUGCACCCAGUUAGCAUCCCCAACUUUGCACCAGAACCUACAGGUCACUAGGCAAGAAUAGAGUACAAAAGUUGAAUCCUAAAGCCAUGUAAUUUCAGUAGGCCAGGAGCUGGUGCAAACUUCCAAGAGGGUAACCAGAUUCCGCUUUUAUCUCCUUAAGUUUCAAGAAGACACACUUCAGUUCAAAACUUAGCCUGAUAUUUGAGAACUAAUUGCUUUGCUGUCCUUCAUGCAUAAUAAUGGCAUUUUUAAAUCAAAAUCUUCUGUUCUCAGCCAAUAUAGUCUAAAGUGAGCAGCAAAGUUAGUUGUGAACCAAGCAAUAGGACAAGACCAAAUAGGUAAUUCUGUAACUGUUUUUUUUGUUUUAAUACAAUCAAAUAAAUUCACUCCAACAGGCAUUACAAAGUUGCCUAUUAUGUGAUCAGUAUAAUGCUAGGUCCUAUUACUGUGUGAUUAAUAUAACAUCUGAACACAACCUCUUGCUUUCAGAAUUGUUAUUGUUGAGAGGGAAAGAGGAAAUAGGUCUGUGUUUAAUAAUUAUAACUGGAAAGAAAAUGGCAGUGUUAUACUAUAGUUCAUUCUACAUACCUAAGUAUGAACAGAACAAUGACUAAGUGAUUGGUCAUGAAAUGUAAUUGGUCAGGGAAAAUUUUUGGAGGGUUAAGUGUUGAACCUGCAAAUGACGUAGUGAGUAUGGAUUGAAGACCCAGACCUGGGCAGGAAAAUCCAUUUGGAUAGGUACUACUAGAAGCAAAGAAAGCCAGGCACGGAGCAAGCCAAUGGAGCGUCUUGCCUUGGUCUGCCAGGAUGCUAAUCCUCAGGGUAAGCAAACCCCUCUUGCUUCCGAUUCUCUAUUUUGCAGCUGAACCACUUCUAGUCUCUCAAAUAUAGCCCUGCUUGAGAGUAUCCUUUAGUCCUUAAGAAGAGGGUUCCAUAUAUCCUCUGUCUUUAAACCUCUUUAUCUGCCCUCACUUGUUUACCUGAGUCUGCUGUUCCCUUCCCCCCUCAUUCUCUCCCUGAUACAGAACAAAACAAAACAGGGGUGCCUGGGUGGCUCAGUUGGUUAAGCAUCUUCA